CCCGGAAAGACGGGCCCCGCCCCGACUCCCUCGGCGAAGAGGCCCCCGCGGCCGGCCGAGCUCCGUGGACUCCGCAGGAGCGGCCCCGCCCCUCACACUACGCCGGGCGGUUCCCUCCGAGCCCCGCCGGGACAGCGUCGACGCUGCACACACCCCAGAGAAGCCAGAGGACGGCGCCUGCACCGGACACAGCGCAACACCGGCACAGCACAGCGUCCACACCACAAGUGAGCCUAGGCAGCUGUGUCUACACUGCAGACGCCGGCCUGAGCGCACGCGUCUUCAUGCAGGCUCAGCAGAGGGGGAAGAACACCUCCCCGAGGGUGGAAGAGCUGUGGCCAGCAGACAGAUGGACGGACAGACGGACACAGGCGAACAGGCAGCGCAGGGGUGAGCCGAGCCGGUCAAAUGGGCCAGGACCCGGCUCCGUGUGCCCUUCACAGUCAGGAUGACAGAACCCCGUGGAAUAUGAAAAAUGCCGGGAGACAGACCCCGGAGGCACAGCCCCUCACCGGGCAGGGAGGCCGCCAGAGGGAAGCGCAGCUCCAGACCACCAGAGCCCCAUCUGAUUAAGGCAUCGAGAUCAAAGCUCAGCAGAGGGCGGCUCAUGAUGGGCAGCUCAAAAAAAUAAACCCACCAAUCAGAGUCCGUGUUCCUGUGACCGGUGGCGGGUUCGGAUGCAGAGGAGGCUUCUCAGUGCGGUUCCUCCUCAUCUCGGAACCUGCCACCCCACUCAAGCCCGACAUAGGCCAGGACAGCCAGGACGGCCGCAGCGAGGGCAACACGAGGCCCGUCGACAUCCUGAGGCCCCCGGGCCUGUCGCCGAGUCCCGGCUUGGGGAGUGUCCCCGGGCCACACUGGUCCUGCUCCCGGCUGUGUGGUCUCCCAGGCGCGUGGCUCCUCCCUCCGGGGCCCAGGCUCUGGUGUGAGCCACUUUUUCCAUAGGAGACGCCCAUACUUGCAGCUCACGCCUUUGUCUGGUGCCCUGGCCUCACACCUAUAGGAAUUGGGUACCUGGGGGCCUCUUCAUCUUUACUUGUCUCAGCUUAGAGAAGCCCAGCUACACUUCCUCCAUGCCUGGAUUCAUGCACGGCCCCACAGGGUGAGGCCUGGACACCCUCACGGGCACUGGGGCUCCACGGAUGCAGAAGGCAGCCUGGCCCGGUAGCUCGGGGGUCUGAGAUGGAGGUGGAGUAAGACAGAGUGACAAAGGCUGCGUCCUGGAGGCAGGCUCGGAGCCUCCCUGAGCUCAGAGAGCCCGCGUGCGCCAGGAAGCCACACCUGCAGGACCCGAGUCGGAACUCAGAGGCUGGUACAGCCGCGGUGCUUGUCCUGUAGAUAAGAAUGGCCUCCUCUGGCGGCCAAAGUUAAUUAAACUGACAAUCUUGAUAAGUUGCACAGUUACCUGCUCGGGGACAAAGAAGAUGGGAGCCUUGUUUGUGGUUUCUUCUUGUUCUUUCCUGUGCCCCACAGUCAUUUUAAAAUUAAAUUAAAUGGCUUAUCUGCACUAACCCAA
rnacentral:lncRNA from 1 species